rnacentral:misc_RNA from 1 species
ACCCCUCAAGCGUAGCUUGGUAUUGGACAUUCGCGGGCCCUUUUAUAGGGGCUCGCGGGCCCGAAAAACAGUGGCGGUUCCCGAGGAUUUCGCGCGUAGUAAAUAUUAUCCCGCGUUGGAAAGAAUCGGUGGGCUUGCCAAAACCCCCCAUAAUCUCCAUGAUUGACCUCGGAUCAGGUAGGGAUACCCGCUGAACUUAA